rnacentral:rRNA from 1 species
CUGACGAGUGGCGGACGGGUGAGUAAUGUCUGGGAAACUGCCUGAUGGAGGGGGAUAACUACUGGAAACGGUUGCUAAUACCGCACAACGUCGCAAGACCAAAGAGGGGGACCUUCGGGCCUCUUGCCAUCGGAUGUGCCCAGAUGGGAUUAGCUUGUUGGUGGGGUAACGGCUCACCAAGGCGACGAUCCCUAGCUGGUCUGAGAGGAUGACCAGCCACACUGGAACUGAGACACGGUCCAGACUCCUACGGGAGGCAGCAGUGGGGAAUAUUGCACAAUGGGCGCAAGCCUGAUGCAGCCAUGCCGCGUGUAUGAAGAAGGCCUUCGGGUUGUAAAGUACUUUCAGCGGGGAGGAAGGGAGUAAAGUUAAUACCUUUGCUCAUUGACGUUACCCGCAGAAGAAGCACCGGCUAACUCCGUGCCAGCAGCCGCGGUAAUACGGAGGGUGCAAGCGUUAAUCGGAAUUACUGGGCGUAAAGCGCACGCAGGCGGUUUGUUAAGUCAGAUGUGAAAUCCCCGGGCUCAACCUGGGAACUGCAUCUGAUACUGGCAAGCUUGAGUCUCGUAGAGGGGGGUAGAAUUCCAGGUGUAGCGGUGAAAUGCGUAGAGAUCU